UGGGGAAUAUUGCACAAUGGGCGCAAGCCUGAUGCAGCCAUGCCGCGUGUGUGAAGAAGGCCUUCGGGUUGUAAAGCACUUUCAGCGAGGAGGAAGGUGGUGAACUUAAUACGUUCAUCGAUUGACGUUACUCGCAGAAGAAGCACCGGCUAACUCCGUGCCAGCAGCCGCGGUAAUACGGAGGGUGCAAGCGUUAAUCGGAAUUACUGGGCGUAAAGCGCACGCAGGCGGUUUGUUAAGUCAGAUGUGAAAUCCCCGGGCUCAACCUGGGAACUGCAUUUGAAACUGGCAAGCUAGAGUCUCGUAGAGGGGGGUAGAAUUCCAGGUGUAGCGGUGAAAUGCGUAGAGAUCUGGAGGAAUACCGGUGGCGAAGGCGGCCCCCUGGACGAAGACUGACGCUCAGGUGCGAAAAGCGUGGGGAGCAAAACAGGAUUAGAUACCCUGGUAGUCCACGCUGUAAAACGAUGUCGAUUUUGGAGGUUGUGCCCUUGAGGCGUGGCUUCCGGAGCUAACGCGUUAAAUCGACCGCCUGGGGAGUACGGCCGCAAGGUUAAAAACUC
rnacentral:rRNA from 1 species